rnacentral:rRNA from 1 species
UAACCUGCCUGGUAGCGGGGGAUAACUAUUGGAAACGAUAGCUAAUACCGCAUAACAGUAGAUAUUGCAUGAUAUCUGCUUGAAAGGGGCAAUUGCUCCACUACCAGAUGGACCUGCGUUGUAUUAGCUAGUUGGUGAGGUAACGGCUCACCAAGGCGACGAUACAUAGCCGACCUGAGAGGGUGAUCGGCCACACUGGGACUGAGACACGGCCCAG